rnacentral:rRNA from 1 species
UACAGAGGUCUCAAGCGUUGUUCGGAUUCAUUGGGCGUAAAGGGUGCGUAGGCGGCGCGGUAAGUCGGGUGUGAAAUCUUGGAGCUUAACUCCGAAACUGCAUUCGAUACUGCCGUGCUUGAGGACUGGAGAGGAGACUGGAAUUUACGGUGUAGCGGUGAAAUGCGUAGAUAUCGUAAGGAAGACCAGUGGCGAAGGCGGGUCUCUGGGCCUGUACUGACGCUGAGGAGCGAAAGCGUGGGGAGCGAACAGG